CCCUUAGAUGUUCUUGGCAGCACGCGCGCUACAAUGGUCUUCGCAAACGGAUGCAUUCUCGAAGGAGAAUGCCAAUCUUGGAAUCUAUGCCUUGGUCGGGACAGUUGCUUGCAAUUUUUCGACUCGAACCAGGAAUUCCUUGUAAUCGUGAUUCAUCACAUCACGAUGAAUACGUCCCUGCCCUUUGUACACACCGCCCGUCGCUCCUACCGAUCGAAGAGUUAGGUGAAUUGUCUUGAUCGAUAAGAUUUGACUAUGGUCAACUCUCGUUGUGAAAUUCUGUGAAUCUGACUGUUUAGAGGAAGGAAAAGUCGUAACA
rnacentral:rRNA from 1 species